rnacentral:rRNA from 1 species
UACAGGGGGGCAAGCGUUGUUCGGAAUUACUGGGCGUAAAGGGUCUGUAGGUGGCCAACUAAGUCAGACGUGAAAUCCCUCAGCUUAAACUGGGGAACUGCGUCUGAUACUGGAUGGCUUGAGUGUGGGAGAGGAAUGCGGAAUUCCGAAGUAGAGGUGAAAUUCGUAGAUAUCGGGAGGAACACCGGUGAGCAGAGGCGACAUCUGGACGGAUACUGACGCUGAGACGCGAAAGCG